UUUAGGGCGUGUUUGACAUGGGAGAUAAGGCCUGAAUAGGAUACUUAUAUGCCCUAAUCCAUUUGUUUGGUAUACCAUAUAAAUAAUCAAGAAAGCCCGAGAAAUUAGGCGGCCCGCUGUUAAAACAUUGUUCCUCUUUAGGAAUGUUAUCACACCCUCACCCUCGGUUAGCUAUGCUUGUUUGUACAGUAACCUAGAUUAAUUUUACAUCUGUCAGUAUUACCCUUCAAUUAUUUCAACUAAUUUGUCUCAUAUGUUGAUUCUAUCAUCAUCUCACGGUAGCGACCUUGGGGAUCUGAUAGGAUUUGGAUUGAUGAAGGAGACUGGUGCAACCUUGUGGAUCUCACGGGAUUUGGACUGAGAUGUGAUUGUCAGGUUGUAUCAGGAGGCAUAUUGGUUCGACGACGGCGACGCUGUUGUUGUUGCUCGGUGGAUGAAAAGGGGACCGCCACCAACCACUGUCGCGGCGACGGCGACGAAAACAACGUGUGUUGUCGUUGUUUGCCUAAAUUUUAGAAGAGGAGCAGCGAUUUUGAGUGUAAUGAUUUAUGCAAGAAUUGAUUUUGUUGAAUUAAGAUGUUGGGCGGCAUUCUGUAGAAAAAUAAAAAUUGGGUGGUGCUAUGUGAAGACUAAAGAAUGGGAAAAAAGAUGGAGUUAGGCGGUGGCUCUGCUCUUUGCGUGUGUGUGGUCUGUUGAAGUUCCGUUCAAGUAGAUAUUGGAGGCAUGGGGUCAUCUGUUCAAGAAAUUGGGGGUAGUGUUGGGCGGCCGGCGGUGGAACUUUUUUGUGUAGUUGGGAAGUUGGGAUUAAAUAGAAAAAUGUUUAUUUUUGUAUUUCUUAAUUAAUUAAUUAAUUUUAAUUUAUAUAAGGUUAAAAUUGUAAUUUGCUCAUUUAUCUAUAGUGGUAUCUUUUUUACCAAACAUGAAUAUUAAUUAUCUUAGUAUUACUAUCUUAUCUAUCAAACAUGAAUAAACAAUAACAAUCUCGCGUAAUCUAUAUUAUUUAUCUAAG
rnacentral:lncRNA from 1 species